UCAAAACAGCGGCCUUCGGGCCUCGCUGCACCCUUGUCUUUUGCGCACCGUAUUGUUUCCUCGGCGGGCUUGCCUGCCGGUUGGACAUCAUAAAACCUUUUUGUAGUUGCAAUCAGCGUCAGAAAAACAAUAAUUAUA
rnacentral:misc_RNA from 1 species